rnacentral:rRNA from 1 species
AGGGUUUGAUCCUGGCUCAGAGCGAACGCUGGCGGCGUGCUUAACACAUGCAAGUCGAACGAACCGCAAGGUUAGUGGCGAAAGGGUGAGUAAUACAUAGAUAACCUGCCCCUGGGUCGGGGAUAACGGGAAGAAAUUUCCGCUAAUACCCGAUGGGACCACACUGUCACCUGGCAGAGUGGUGAAAACUCCGGUGCCCAUGGAGGGAUCUGUGUCCUAUCAGCUAGUUGGUGAGGUAACGGCUCACCAAGGCUACGACGGGUAGCAGGCCUGAGAGGGUGGUCUGCCACAUUGGGACUGAGACACUGCCCAAACUUCUACGGGAGGCUGCAGUGAGGAAUAUUGCGCAAUGGGCGAAAGCCUGACGCAGCGACGCCGCGUGCACGAAGAAGGCCUUCGGGUUGUAAAGUGCUGUCACGGGGUAAGAAAGGACCUUCGGGUCUUGACGUUCCCCCGAGAGGAAGCUCUGGCUAAACACGUGCCAGCAGCCGCGGUAAUACGUGUAGAGCUAGCGUUGCUCGGAUUCACUGGGCUUAAAGGGUGCGUAGGCGGCCGAGUAAGUAAGGUGUGAAAUCCUGCAGCUUACCUGCAGAAUUGCAUUUUAUACUGCUUGGCUUGAGUACUGAAGAGGAUAGCGGAAUUCUGGGUGUAGCGGUGAAAUGCUUAGAGAUCCAGGAGAACGCCGGUGACGAAGGUGGCUAUCUGGUCAGAUACUGACGCUGAGGCACGAAAGCCAGGGGAGCAAACGGGAUUAGAUACCCCGGUAGUCCUGGCCCUAAACGAUGUACACUUGGUGGUGGGAACUUCGGUUCUCGCUGCCGGAGCGAAAGCGUUAAGUGUACCGCCUGGGGAGUACGGUCGCAAGGCUAAAACUCAAAGGAAUUGACGGGGGCUC